AAAGGAAUUGACGGGGGCCCGCACAAGCAGUGGAGUAUGUGGUUUAAUUCGAAGCAACGCGAAGAACCUUACCAGGGUUUGACAUCCCUUGACGGCUGUAGAGAUACAGAAUCCCUUCGGGGCAAGGAGACAGGUGGUGCAUGGUUGUCGUCAGCUCGUGUCGUGAGAUGUUGGGUUAAGUCCCGCAACGAGCGCAACCCUUGUUGUUAGUUGCCAGCACGUAAAGGUGGGCACUCUAGCGAAACUGCCGGCGACAAGUCGGAGGAAGGUGGGGACGACGUCAAAUCAUCAUGCCCCUUAUAUCCUGGGCUACACACGUACUACAAUGGCUGUAACAGAGGGAAGCGAAGGAGCAAUCCGGAGCAAAUCCCCAAAAGCAGCCUCAGUUCAGAUUGUGGGCUGCAACCCGCCCACAUGAAGUCGGAAUUGCUAGUAAUGGCAGGUCAGCAUACUGCCGUGAAUACGUUCCCGGGCCUUGUACACACCGCCCGU
rnacentral:rRNA from 1 species